rnacentral:ribozyme from 12 species
CAUUUUCGCGCGUUUUUUUUCUUCUUUUUUCUUUUUUUUUCUUCUCUUUUCUUUUUCUUUCUCUUGUUCUU